AUUAGUUCCUCUGACAUACACAUAAUUGGUUUGUGUUUUAUACAGUGCUACUGGCAAUGUUUGAAGCUCCAGUUGUUUCAAGUCUCUAUCGACACUCAUCAGUAUCAUCGGUCUUUUUAAUUCCAGCUAUUCUACAAGAGACACUAUCCCCAUCAGUCAGUGAGCUCCGGUGACUUCCCAUGCCUAGCUGGUCAGAAGAAACAGUUGAUUCUGCAGACUGAAGAAAUUUAAUGUGACUUCUCCAAGUCAACGUAGUACUUUAAGCACAACAUAUCUGUUACAAUCCAGUUUAAA